CCUGAUGCAGCGACGCCGCGUGAGGGAUGACGGCCUUCGGGUUGUAAACCUCUUUCAGCAGGGAAGAAGCGAAAGUGACGGUACCUGCAGAAGAAGCGCCGGCUAACUACGUGCCAGCAGCCGCGGUAAUACGUAGGGCGCAAGCGUUGUCCGGAAUUAUUGGGCGUAAAGAGCUCGUAGGCGGUCUGUCACGUCGGAUGUGAAAGCCCGGGGCUUAACCCCGGGUCUGCAUUCGAUACGGGCAGACUAGAGUGUGGUAGGGGAGAUCGGAAUUCCUGGUGUAGCGGUGAAAUGCGCAGAUAUCAGGAGGAACACCGGUGGCGAAGGCGGAUCUCUGGGCCAUUACUGACGCUGAGGAGCGAAAGCGUGGGGAGCGAACAGGAUUAGAUACCCUGGUAGUCCACGCCGUAAACGGUGGGAACUAGGUGUUGGCGACAUUCCACGUCGUCGGUGCCGCAGCUAACGCAUUAAGUUCCCCGCCUGGGGAGUACGGCCGCAAGGCUAAAACUCAAAGGAAUUGACGGGGGCCCGCACAAGCAGCGGAGCAUGUGGCUUAAUUCGACGCAACGCGAAGAACCUUACCAAGGCUUGACAUACACCGGAAACGGCCAGAGAUGGUCGCCCCCUUGUGGUC
rnacentral:rRNA from 1 species